AAUAAUUCGAGAUAAGUUUUGAUAAUGACAUUAUUUAUUUCCCAGCUCUUGACCAACUCAUGUGCCAGCAGUCGCGGUAAGACAUGGAAGGCUAGCGUUAUUCAUCUUUAUUAGGUUUAAAGGGUACCUAGACGGUAGAUAUUAGCUUUUAUCUUUAAAGAUAAUUGUACUUUGUUUACUAGAGUUUAAUGAAAGGAAUUCAGAACGGUGAGUGUAGGGAUAGAAUCUUUUGAUACCACUUAGAAACUGGUUUAGGUGAAGACAGAUUCCUAUGUAAAAACUGACGUUGAGGGACGAAGGCUCAACAAAAGAAAUGGGAUUAGUUACCCCGGUACUAAGGGCAGACAAUGAUGAAUGCCAUAUUUAAGAAAAAAAGUUUUUUAAAUAUAAAUGAAAGUGAAAGCAUUCCACCUCAAGAGUAAUAUGGCAACAUAUAAACUGAAAUCACUAGGCCGUUUCUGGAAUUCGUAGUGAAGUAUGUUAUUUAAUUUGAUGACCCACAAAGGACCUUACCACAGUGUGUAUAGUUUUGUACGUAAGUACAUUUCGGACAAGUGUUGCACGGCUGUCCGCAGUUGAUAUCGUGAGAAUUGAUUAACUUCAGUAAUU
rnacentral:rRNA from 1 species